UACGGAGGGUGCAAGCGUUGUUCGGAAUCACUGGGCGUAAAGAGCGUGUAGGUGGCUGGGCAAGUCAGAUGUGAAAGCCCAUGGCUCAACCAUGGAAUUGCAUUUGAAACUGCUCAACUUGAGUAUGGGAGGGGGAAACGGAAUUCCUGGUGUAGAGGUGAAAUUCGUAGAUAUCAGGAAGAACACCCGUGGCGAAGGCGGUUUCCUGGACCAUCACUGACACUGAGACGCGAAAGCGUGGGGAGCAAACAGG
rnacentral:misc_RNA from 1 species